GCUUUUAACUAAAUGCAAAAAGUCGAAAGUCGACUUUCAUAAAAUGCAAAAAGUCGAAAUGCCGACUUUUCAUAAAAUGCAAAAAGUCGAAAAGUCGACUUUUCGUUUCAACUAUAGAACCCUACCUAGGGUUUACAUAUUCUCCAAGAUCAAUAGGUUUUACACUGCACAACCUCAUGCAAAAAAGUUAACCUAAAUCUUGUCGUCAUUACGUACAAGUUGCGAAAAAGAUGCCAGGUCCUCACAGUGUUAUGGAGUCUCCUACAUUCGGUAUUACUCAGUUCAAAAACAGAACCUAACAACUUUGGCAAGCGGCAAACAGAAUUCAUCGGCAUAAUAUUUAUGCCUAAAGAUCGCUUCUGAACUACCUAGCGUGGAAUUUCCGCUCCAUUAUACGUGCAAUUUGCUCAAGUAUUUGAGCUUUCUAAUUUCACAACCUCAUGGAAAAAAGUUAACCAAAAUCUUGUCGUCAUUACGUACAAGUUGCGAAAAAGAUGCCAGGUCCUCACAGUGGUAUGGAGUCUCCUACAUUCGGUAUUACUCAGUUCAAAAACAGAACCUAACAACUUUGGCAAGCGGCAAACAGAAUUCAUCGGCAUAAUAUUUAUGCCUAGCUAUGCUAUUGUACAGUUAACGUAGAAUUUCCGCUCCAUUUUACGUGCAAUUUGCUCAAGUAUUUGAGCUAUCUAAUCUCUGACUAUUGUUACGUGGGAUGACCUCUGUUGAGUCGCCAGCAGCACCUAGAGACGUAACCGAUAGACCUAAAUGCGUAUCCAUUAAAUAAGCUGAAGAUUUUGGUCUUACAGAGAACACACUGUGGUAAAUCUGGUAUAAAUAUAGUUUUCUCUGAACAUUUCUAGAUAAAAAAAGAACAUUUCAAUGGUAUCACUUGUAUAGGAUACCUUUAAUCCAUCAUCCAGCAUCCGGUUGGUUUAAAUCUAUAAGUAGAGGGUAAUAGUUAAUCGUACCCCUACGACCACUAGGGUAACACAACGGGACCGCAAUUAGGUGGACCCAUGUGAGCCACUCAUCCUUGAUUGAAUGGCUGCCCUUCUUACUUAAACCUAUCAUCCAGCACACUCAAAGGUAACAACAUCCGACACACGCACUCUAGAUAUAAGGGCUGGCAAACUUCCACACUGUUAAUCCUCUGUAGUAUAUUUGCUGUCAUUUGACAACAGCUCCAAAUUUAUCCCGAAAUAUAGACAUUACCGUGCAUCAGUCUUUUAACCACAACUUACUCUUCCUGCGAAUUUGUUUUAAUCCAUAGCCGAGACAAGACAUGCGGGUAACUGGCCACCCGUAGUACCAGAUUAUAUGAUUUUCUGGAUCUAACCCAUGUCAAAUUAUUCCAAGGAAAGUCCGAAGUGUAACUUCCCCGGUUUAUAAUCUCUACAAACUAGAAGUACUGUCAGAACCUCUUUAUCCUGAGAUUGGAAGGAGACAAGAACAACAUCCCAUAACUUAGGCACAAUCGGUGAAAAUAGGUAAC